UAAAAAAAAAAACACUAGUUUUUGUGUUUAAGGUUUGAUUGUUCGUUUUAUUUAAAAAAAAUUAUAAAAAAAUAAAAAGACAAGUCGCACAUAAAAUAUUAAUCAUGUUUUAUCAUCUAACAACAAUAAAAAUACUAAUUAUAAAAAUUUUCAUAUAAGACGGACAGUCAAACGUUGGACACGGAAAUCCAGGGUUUAUCUUUUU
rfam:Oryza rufipogon genomic scaffold, chr02